rnacentral:rRNA from 1 species
GAUGAACGCUGGCGGCGUGCUUAACACAUGCAAGUCGAACGAGAAUCCAGUGAAGGAGUUUUCGGACAACGGAUCUGGAGGAAAGUGGCGGACGGAUGAGUAACGCGUGAGCAAUCUGCCUUGGAGUGGGGAAUAACGGUUGGAAACAGCCGCUAAUACCGCAUGAUGCGUCUGGGAGGCAUCUCUCUGGACGCCAAAGAUUUAUCGCUCUGAGAUGAGCUCGCGUCUGAUUAGCUUGUUGGCGGGGUAAAGGCCCACCAAGGCGACGAUCAGUAGCCGGACUGAGAGGUUGGCCGGCCACAUUGGGACUGAGACACGGCCCAGACUCCUACGGGAGGCAGCAGUGGGGAAUAUUGGGCAAUGGGCGCAAGCCUGACCCAGCAACGCCGCGUGAAGGAAGAAGGCUUUCGGGUUGUAAACUUCUUUUCUGAGGGACGAAGAAAGUGACGGUAC